rnacentral:rRNA from 1 species
AACGAACGCUGGCGGCAUGCCUAACACAUGCAAGUCGAACGAGACCUUCGGGUCUAGUGGCGCACGGGUGCGUAACGCGUGGGAACCUGCCCUUAGGUUCGGAAUAACUCCCCGAAAGGGGUGCUAAUACCGGAUAAUGUCUUCGGACCAAAGAUUUAUCGCCUUUGGAUGGGCCCGCGUUGGAUUAGCUAGUUGGUAGGGUAAAAGCCUACCAAGGCGACGAUCCAUAGCUGGUCUGAGAGGAUGGUCAGCCACACUGGGACUGAGACACGGCCCAGACUCCUACGGGAGGCAGCAGUGGGGAAUAUUGGACAAUGGGCGAAAGCCUGAUCCAGCAAUGCCGCGUGAGUGAUGAAGGCCUUAGGGUUGUAAAGCUCUUUUAACCGGGAUGAUAAUGACAGUACCGGGAGAAUAAGCUCCGGCUAACUCCGUG